UUUCCGUAGGUGAACCUGCGGAAGGAUCAUUAAAAAAUGUUGUACCAAUUAUUGGUACUAAUUAAUCAUCCUACCCUUUGUGAAUUUGUUUGUAUGAAUUUUUUUAAAUGGGUCUUUCCCUAAGUUGGAUUGUUAGUAAAAUACAAAAAGACUUAGGGGAAUGACUUUUUUAAAAGACUUUUUUUUAAUUAAAACUUUUUGUAUUCAUUUGUCUAAAAUUUAUUUUUAUAAUAUAAAAACAACUUUUGACAAUGGAUCUCUUGGUUCUCGCAACGAUGAAGAACGCAGCAAAAUGCGAUAAGUAGUGUGAAUUGCAGAAUACGUGAAUCAUCGAAUCUUCGAACGCAUAUUGCACUUUUUUAGUUUACUAAAAAAGUAUGACUGUUUGAGUAUCAGUAAAAUAUUCUCACAAAACAUGUAUUGUUUGUGGUUAUGAGUGUUUUACAACGAUAAACAAGUUGUUUCACUUUAAAUUCUUUUUAAUUGAAUUUUACCAAUUCAUAAAUUAAAAUUGGAUAAAAUUUUCCUUUAACGAGGAAUAACCUAAACAAUUUUAAAUUUUAUGGAUUAAUAAACAUUCAUCAAAGGAAUCUAUACAACAAAUAACUUGAUCUCAAAUCAGAUAAGAGUACCCGCUGAACUUAAGCAUAUCAAUAAGCGGAGGAAAAGAAACUAACAAGGAUUCCCUUAGUAACGGCGAGUGAAGCGGGAAGAGCUCAAAUUUGAAAUCUUCAAGGUUUGACCCUGACGAAUUGUAGUUUAUAGAAGUGUUUUCUGUUGGAGUUUUGGUAAAAGUUCUUUGGAAUAGGACAUCAUAGAGGGUGAGAAUCCCGUAUUUGACCAUGACUUUCCAGCUGUGUGAUACACUUUCAAAGAGUCGGAUUGUUUGGGAAUGCAGUCCAAAAUGGGUGGUAAAUUUCAUCUAAAGCUAAAUAUUGGCGAGAGACCGAUAGCGAACAAGUACCGUGAGGGAAAGAUGAAAAGAACUUUGAAAGAGAGUUAAACAGUACGUGAAAUUGUCAAAAGGGAAGCGUUUGACACCAGUGUUGUUUUCUCGAAAAUCAAUUUAAUGAGUUCUUGUUUUUAAGUUAUUGUGACUUUAUCAGCGCAUUUCUUAUUUUACUUGACUCAUUGAAUGCACUUUUCGUUUAACAAGUCAACAUCAAUUUCUUUGGUGGUAAAAAGUUUAAAGGAAGGUGGCUUGGACUUCGGUUCAAGUGUUUAUAGCCUUUUUUCUAUGCCAUCGGAGAGAUUGAGGUCUGCAGCGUAGAUCCUUCGGGGUUAGAUACCUUUGUGCUAAGUUAUAGUUUUUUAUAGACAACUUGUUGACUAUAAUUAACCCUGUAAUUUACUCGCUUAGGCUAUUUUACCUACGCUUAGGAUGUUG
rnacentral:misc_RNA from 1 species